UAGCACUUUAGCGUCGACAUAGUGUCGCACUCUGUCGUCUGUUCUUUCCAGAUGCACUUUCUGAUUUCAUUCGAGUUGCCCAAAUACCCAGCUCUUUAUUGGUUCCCUUUCAUCCUUGGCCCAGACUGCGCAUGCGCGAACAUUCAACAGCGUUCUGUCUCAGAUAGACGCUAGGACUCGAGAGCACCAGCAUCAGGCAUGACUGAACAACGAAACGGUGGGCACACGCCCCCCGCGUUUGCGUUCAUGGACGAAGCAACCCCGGGUGCAAGCCGUGAAGGCCGCGAGGGUGCUUUAGGCACUUCCGACGAUUACACUACGGUAUACACGCAACACAGAAACCCGAAGCACUGGUUUUACACUUCCAGUCUACAGCGGCGGCAGCGGCAACGAUGCAGUGGCCAGUACAAGCCACGCUGGCGCGGAGGAAGCAUCGGGCAUUCCAGAAAACGAUGCUAGAAUUCUUGACGCCACCGGCGCUGAGCCAUGGACUAUCCAGUACUACUAGGCUUGUGGCACAACUACAGUCUACGAGAGCGCUGAUGUGCUGGCGGAAUGGUCGACUGAACCUGAGCUGCCGCUGAAGGUUCCGACCGGCCCGUUGGUCAGGGAGCUCAAGCUUUCCACGCUACACGACAAGGGAUCGUUCCCGAUUGCGGUGCUCGCUUUUGAGCGCCGCGGAGAUGUACCUGUGCGGCCGCGGCCUCCAAGAUCCCAACCUCGUCAGCACCUCUCAUUCUCGGAGGCCUUACCUGAGCGGCCGGCGACACGCCCCGACGAGCCGAAACGAGGAGGAAAGACGAUAUGACCACUGCCGAAGGAUGACGCAGGGGCGCUCGUCUCGGCGUCUGUGCAAAACGAUAAUUACAAGCUGGCGGUGGUUUAGUGCGGAGGAAGCCUUUCGAAAAAUGCGAAUAAAUUUGGAAACUAUAACUUCAGCGAG